AAGCGUGUCACGAAAUUUUUUACUGUGUCGUGUUUUCUAUUCAUGAAAAAAGAGACUUAUACAUUUCGAAGGAUUUUUUAUUUGUCUUUAAAAAGGCAGGGAAAGAAUUGUGCAAUGAAGGGUGUAUUGUUGCUUUACAUUUUCACCACCAGUAGCCUAUAUAUGUAUUCAUUUUGAUGUAUUUAUUUUGAUAUUGGUUGUUGUAGACCCAUCCCCAACAACGUCAACCUGCAGAAGGACUAUUACUACACUGAGACUGAGAAAUACUACUCAACAAAGGCGCCAGAGUACUACACCACAGCAAGUUACUACACCAAAGCUCACAAGUAUUAUUCCGCUCAUAAAUCUACACUAUUUUCUUAUCAUAAACUACACUACUACUGUGUCGUAUCCCGCCAGCUAUCAGAGGGCAGCGCCAUCGUAUUGAUUUCAUAUUUUCUUGAGAAAACCUUUAAAUGUUUAGU